AUUGAACGCUGGCGGCAGGCCUAACACAUGCAAGUCGAGCGGAUGAAGGGAGCUUGCUCCUGGAUUCAGCGGCGGACGGGUGAGUAAUGCCUAGGAAUCUGCCUGGUAGUGGGGGAUAACGUCCGGAAACGGGCGCUAAUACCGCAUACGUCCUGAGGGAGAAAGUGGGGGAUCUUCGGACCUCACGCUAUCAGAUGAGCCUAGGUCGGAUUAGCUAGUUGGUGGGGUAAAGGCCUACCAAGGCGACGAUCCGUAACUGGUCUGAGAGGAUGAUCAGUCACACUGGAACUGAGCCACGGUCCAGACUCCUACGGGAGGCAGCAGCGGGGAAUAUUGGACAAUGGGCGAAAGCCUGAUCCAGCCAUGCCGCGUGUGUGAAGAAGGUCUUCGGAUUGUAAAGCACUUUAAGUUGGGAGGAAGGGCAGUAAGUUAAUACCUUGCUGUUUUGACGUUACCAACAGAAUAAGCACCGGCUAACUUCGU
rnacentral:rRNA from 1 species